GGCUGCCUACGGGGCGCAGCAGUGGGGAAUAUUGCACAAUGGGGGAAACCCUGAUGCAGCGACGCCGCGUGAGUGAAGAAGUAUUUCGGUAUGUAAAGCUCUGUCAGCAGGGAAGAAAAUGACGGUACCUGACCAAGAAGCCCCGGCUAACUACGUGCCAGCAGCCGCGGUAAUACGUAGGGGGCAAGCGUUAUCCGGAUUUACUGGGUGUAAAGGGAGCGUAGACGGCAUUGCAAGUCCGGAGUGAAAGCCCACGGCCCAACCGUGGGACUGCUCUGGAAACUGUAGAGCUGGAGUGCGGGAGG
rnacentral:rRNA from 1 species